rnacentral:lncRNA from 1 species
AUGUCUUUAUUAUACUUAUGCCCAGGCAGAGAACUAAAUUUAGUAACUACGAAGGGAUGGACAAAUUUGACAACUAUAUAUAUAACUAUGAGAAGAAAACUAAAUAUAUCCAUCCAUGGAGAAGAGGGGCUCACUACUGCAAAUGAAGGUGGUAUUUGUGAAUCUCUCCCAGGAGGAGGUAUUUCUGAGAAAUCUUUCCUAAAGUGGAACUGUUCCCACUCUUUAAUAUUUGCCGUGUGACUGACCAGGUUUAGUGUACCUGACUUUGAACAGCUGAUCUGCUUAAAAAUAAAUCUAGCAUCCAGCAAGCACCCAGGACAUAGGAUGAAAUAAAUAUUUGUGAAUAGUGAUCACAAUGUUCCUAGAGUCUAACACGUGUCAUAUCUACUUGGUUCUCAAUGCUUUACACACUUUAAAUGUGAGUAUGCGAUACUUGUAAGAACUCUUUAAGGGAGAUGUCACUUUUGGCAUUUAACAGAUGAGCAAAGUUAAAAGCAGGAAAAUAAGUUAUUUGCCUUCAGAUGACAUAGCUGAUUAGUAAACUAGCAGAGAUUUGAACUGAGAUCCUUUCAAUUUUAAAAUCUUGUCCACCACAUAUGUCUUCCUCUCCGUAGUUCCAAUACAACUGGGUAGAUGACCAUUGCAUAGCUAUUAAUACAA